GGAUGGGUAGAGCUCAGUGUAGAGUGCGUGCUUGGCGUGCACGAGGUCCUAAGUUCAAUCCUCAGUGUCUCCA
rnacentral:tRNA from 1 species